CCCUACGGGAGGCAGCAGUGAGGAAUAUUGGUCAAUGGCCGGAAGGCUGAACCAGCCAAGCCGCGUGAAGGACGAAGGUGCCAAGCAUUGUAAACUUCUUUUGUCAAGGGACAAAAUCAGGCUCGAGAGCCUGACCGAGGGUACUUGAAGAAAAAGCAUCGGCUAACUCCGUGCCAGCAGCCGCGGUAAUACGGAGGAUGCGAGCGUUAUCCGGAUUUAUUGGGUUUAAAGGGUGCGUAGGCGGGCAUUUAAGCCGGCGGUCAAAUGUCGGGGCUCAACCCCGGCCUGCCGUCGGAACUGGGUGG
rnacentral:rRNA from 1 species